ACAGGAGACACAGAGAGGGACAGAUAAAGAGAGACAGACGAUGAGAACAUCCAUUGUUAAAUCUCUUGAUCCAUUAAAUAUUUUUUCAAGGCAGGGAACAUCAAUUUCAGAAAGUGAAUACUCCAUGGCAAUUUAAAAAGCAGAAGUAUAAUUCUCAGAUUAGGUGCUUUAAAUCCAUAUUACCCCUUGGGGGCCAACCAUGUUUCAGCAGAUGGUGGCAUUCAAAUCAAAAUCAAAUCAAGUGUUAUUUGUCACAUACGUCCUAAACAACAGGUGUAGACUAACAGUGAAAUGCUUACUGAUGGGCCCUUCCCAACAACAGGUGUAGACUAACAGUGAAAUGCUUACUGAUGGGCCCUUCCCAACAACAGGUGUAGACUAACAGUGAAAUGCUUACUGAUGGACCCUUCCCAACAACAGGUGUAGACUAACAGUGAAAUGCUUACUGAUGGGCCCUUCCCAACAACAGGUGUAGACUAACAGUGAAAUGCUUACUGAUGGGCCCUUCCCAACAACAGGUGUAGACUAACAGUGAAAUGCUUACUGAUGGGCCCUUCCCAACAACAGGUGUAGACUAACAGUGAAAUGCUUACUGAUGGGCCCUUCCCAACAACAGGUGUAGACUAACAGUGAAAUGCUUACUGAUGGACCCUUCCCAACAACAGGUGUAGACUAACAGUGAAAUGCUUACUGAUGGACCCUUCCCAACAACAGGUGUAGACUAACAGUGAAAUGCUUACUGAUGGGCCCUUCCCAACAACAGGUGUAGACUAACAGUGAAAUGCUUACUGAUGGACCCUUCCCAACAACAGGUGUAGACUAACAGUGAAAUGCUUACUGAUGGGCCCUUCCCAACAACAGGUGUAGACUAACAGUGAAAUGCUUACUGAUGGGCCCUUCCCAACAACAGGUGUAGACUAACAGUGAAAUGCUUACUGAUGGGCCCUUCCCAACAACAGGUGUAGACUAACAGUGAAAUGCUUACUGAUGGGCCCUUCCCAACAACGGAGAGAGAAGAAUAUAGAACAAAUAAUAACACGAGGAAUAAAUACACAAUGAGAUAACUUGGCUAUAUGCUUGAGUCAAAAGAAUUGGUGCAAAGAGGGUCAAUGCAGAUAGUCCGGGCAGCUAUUUGGUUAACUAGUUAGUAGUCUAAUGUCUUGGGGUAGAAGCUGUUCAAGUCCUGUUGGUUCCACACCUGGCAUUUACUUCUCUAACACACAAUAGAAAUCUUCUUUGUUCCAAGAUGAUGCAUAUUGAGCAUAACUUAGUUUUCCCCU